GGCUCUUUCUGCGUCCCGGAUCACUUUCAAGUUACCUGCCCGUGCACCCGGCCCAUGAGGGGAGAGAAGGAGCUCAGCUUCUAGCACCAUGAUUAGCGCGUUGCCCGGGGACACGCCGGUGACCCGAACCACAGGGCCCCCAGAUGCAAAUACCCCUGGGGGUAAGCAACAGAAUCUCACCAAGAAUAAUUUCAUUCAGUCUUUUCUGUAAAGCAGACUGAGCAAAGAAACCAUGAGCCAGCUGUGAAGUCCUGGCCAUUCCAGCUGCGUGGAGACUGCUGAAAAUCCUACUGCGGUCCUUUUCCUCUCUUCCUUCUCCAGUUCACUUUUCUUCCUCAACAACACACCUGCCACUUUUCCUUUCUUCUUGAGUCACCUCCUCGGCCCCACAGUUGUCACUCCCACCUCCUGUUCUUCCUUAGCCCUUUCCCCCUG